CCUACGGGUGGCAGCAGUGGGGAAUAUUGCGCAAUGAGGGAAACCCUGAUGCAGCGACGCAGCGUGAGUGAAGAAGUACUUCGGUUUGUAAAGUGCUAUCAGCAGGGAAGAAAAUGACGGUACCGGAUUAAUUAGCCCCUGCUAACUACGUGCCAGCAGCCGCCGUAAUACGUAGGGGGCAAGCGGUAUCCGGUUUUACUGGGUGUAAAGUGAGCGUAGACGGGAGUACAAGUCUGGAGUGAAAUGCCUGGGCUUAACCCCGGGACUGCUUUGGAUACUGGUCAGCUAGAGUGCAGGAGAGGUAAGUGGAAUUCUUAGUGUAGCGGUGAAAUGCGUAGAUAUUAGGAGGAACACCAGCGGCGAAGGCGGCUUACUGGACUGUCACUGACGUUGAGGCUCGAAAGCGUGGGGAGCAAACAGGAUUAGAUACCCCUGUAGUC
rnacentral:rRNA from 1 species